CGGAGCUUGCUCCACCGAAAGAAAAAGAGUGGCGAACGGGUGAGUAACACGUGGGUAACCUGCCCAUCAGAAGGGGAUAACACUUGGAAACAGGUGCUAAUACCGUAUAACACUAUUUUCCGCAUGGAAGAAAGUUGAAAGGCGCUUUUGCGUCACUGAUGGAUGGACCCGCGGUGCAUUAGCUAGUUGGUGAGGUAACGGCUCACCAAGGCAACGAUGCAUAGCCGACCUGAGAGGGUGAUCGGCCACACUGGGACUGAGACACGGCCCAGACUCCUACGGGAGGCAGCAGUAGGGAAUCUUCGGCAAUGGACGAAAGUCUGACCGAGCAACGCCGCGUGAGUGAAGAAGGUUUUCGGAUCGUAAAACUCUGUUGUUAGAGAAGAACAAGGAUGAGAGUAAAAUGUUCAUCCCUUGACGGUAUCUAACCAGAAAGCCACGGCUAACUACGUGCCAGCAGCCGCGGUAAUACGUAGGUGGCAAGCGUUGUCCGGAUUUAUUGGGCGUAAAGCGAGCGCAGGCGGUUUCUUAAGUCUGAUGUGAAAGCCCCCGGCUCAACCGGGGAGGGUCAUUGGAAACUGGGAGACUUGAGUGCAGAAGAGGAGAGUGGAAUUCCAUGUGUAGCGGUGAAAUGCGUAGAUAUAUGGAGGAACACCAGUGGCGAAGGCGGCUCUCUGGUCUGUAACUGACGCUGAGGCUCGAAAGCGUGGGGAGCGAACAGGAUUAGAUACCCUGGUAGUCCACGCCGUAAACGAUGAGUGCUAAGUGUUGGAGGGUUUCCGCCCUUCAGUGCUGCAGCA
rnacentral:rRNA from 1 species